UACGGGGGGGGCAAGCGUUGUUCGGAAUUACUGGGCGUAAAGGGCUCGUAGGCGGCCAACUAAGUCAGACGUGAAAUCCCUCGGCUUAACCGGGGAACUGCGUCUGAUACUGGAUGGCUUGAAUCCGGGAGAGGGAUGCGGAAUUCCAGGUGUAGCGGUGAAAUGCGUAGAUAUCUGGAGGAACACCGGUGGCGAAGGCGGCAUCCUGGACCGACACUGACGCUGAGGAGCGAAAGCCAGGGGAGCAAAACGGG
rnacentral:rRNA from 1 species